AUCUAUAUUAAAUAUUAGUAAGAAAAUAGUAAAAUCUAUAAUAUUUAAUAAAAAUUAUUUUUAAAUAUAAGUUAGAUUAAAAAAUUCCUUAUAUACCUAGUUAUGCAUAUAUAACUAAUAUUGUAUAGAUUUUUUCCCAGACCUAAUUCUUAAUGUUAGUAGUUUAAAGAGCAUCUUGCACACGUGUUCCUAUACUAUAUCAAAGUUUAUUGCGGAAUCCUACGACGACGUCUGCGACCAGUACUAAAAGGGAGAUACAGCUUCGAACUGUAAUUAUACUUCGGAGUUCGGAAUCCUAUAGCAAUGUGGGCGUCUGCGAGUACUACUUCUAAAAUGGCAUUAGCAGAUACAACUUCAACUUGUUCCUGAAAACUACGGCCUCUUAAAGCCCGUUUUAGGCCCAUUUAUCCAUUUUUGUUUGUGGACUUUAUUUACGGGUGAAACAUUUUUAAUAAAUUUUAAACUAUUCAGUAGAUUGUCCAACAAAAAAAACUAUUCAGAAGUUUAGCACAAACCAGUAAGAGAAUCCUCAGAAGUUGACAUGUGGCAAAGUUUUGUAAAAAAAAAAAUAAUGUAAAAAGAAUAACUGAGUAUGGUUUAUUUUUUGAAACAGAAAUCUAAAUCUCUGAAUUUUCUUCUAUCAUCAAUCAAAAUGAUCGUGUCAUCUAUAACUUCCAAUCAUGCCAAGAUUUCAAUAGGUUUGAACUUUUUAAUAAAUUGGAAGCAAUAAAAUCCAUCUUUGAUCAACUACUUUCGCUCUGGUUCUAUAUCUUCCUCGUGCAAGUAUGCUUCAACGAGAAAGGCUUUGUUCUGAUCCGUGAAACUCCUCUUACUUGGUCUUUUCUUCAAGCUGUGUACGAGUCAGCUAAACAUUGCUCCGUUACUCCUCUCCAGUAUUAAAUCAUGCCAGGCCAGCGCAAGAUUGUUAUUUGACUACUUUUCCUUCCAAUUACGUUGGAUUACUUCUUGAUUUUAGUUGUGCCGCAAGAUCUCAGAUUUCUAAACUCUGAUGCAUCACCUUCUCCUCUAUUGGGUUUAAAAGAGUUAAUUAACCAGAAGAUCAAACAUAUAAUUUGGAUUUGUGUUUGUUUUGACCAUAAAUAUGUUGAAAGCAGCGUACAUGCUACUGCUUUUAUCUGGGAAUGGUGUUAGCUUAAUAUGGAAAGCGAUCAUGAUUAGGAGCAACCUUAGACCCUAUAUUUUCUACACAUGGCUGAAGGUGAUAUGGUACGAGAUAAUAUAAUUCUAUUUAUUUGUAGUUAAUACCCUUCUACAUAUAUUUGAUGCAGAAUCAUCAAACCGUAACUCUCCCGCAGUAAUUUGAAGGCCAUGGAAAGUAAUGUUUCUUUUACUCAUUGUAACUUAAUCAUAUGCUCUUUUCAUGUUCGUCACAUCUCACAACUUAAGAAAUCGUUGCUACAGUUCUUCACUUUUUUCCUUGUGGUAAAGUAUAUUUUUACUAUUCUUUCAUACAUCUCUUUGUAGUUAAAGUAGCAAGAGAAUUAUGAGUCUGAUGUAGGAUACAAGAGGUAUCCCCAAAGAAGAUUAACUGCCCAAAAACACAUGAUAUCUACUAACCAGCCUCUAAUUACCAAAGUAGUAUCUUUUUCUAAUGCAUAUAUACAUUGAUUUUUAUCUAUGUAGGUUUAGUCACUAUAUAUAUAGGAGGUGCGACUAGCCAUCAUUUGAAUUUAUUCCCACUCUCAUUGCAGUUUGAUCACUGGUCAGAAAUGGGACGGUUACACGAUCUGAUUGGUAGUAGAGGCACCAUCGACAUGGGGGGGGGGGUACACUUACAGCCAUAGUCGGAGAAGUCUUAUGCACCCAUAGGAGAUGAAGACAUCGAGCUCCUUUUCUCAUUCAGCUUGAGGUUGAAAUAAAUAAAAAACGAAACCUCAUACCUGAGAUUGAGGACAUUCAGCUCAGGAAGCAGAAGGAGGACAGCUACAACGAUAGGUUCUCAUCAAAAAAUACUUGGCAUCAGAUUGGGGAAGUGACAGUACAAUGCUCGUGGAGUCAGAGUAUGUGGUUUUCACAUUCAACGCCAAGGUAUGCCUUUCUUAUGUGGUUAACGAACCUCACUUACAGAACUUUACUCCAUCAUAAAUUAAGCACCAAUUACCCCGCGCAAGCGCAGGGUCUAGUAUGAACAUAAUUUUCCCGUGUUUUGGGUUUCUGAAAAAUGUUUCAAGACCGAAAAUAGGGAUAGGAACUGGCAUUCUAGAAUAUAACAGUACAUAUUUUUAUAAACUCUAGUAAAUAAUCCUUAAAUAGUCGACAGAAAAAAUCCUUAAAUAACAAAACACACAAUUUUUUUCAAAUGAAAAUGAACUCGAAAUUUGUUUUCAUACAUAUGGGUUUUAACCCGCGCUGGUUUCCCUCCAACUAUGGAAACUGCCUCUGUUGCCGUCUCUGGUUCUCAGAGAAAGUUGGCCGUCUUGAGUUUGAAUUCAUCCAGCAGAUUCUCGACGCUCAGCACUGGGAACUCUGAAAGGUCUUCGUUUCUUCGCCGAACAGUCACCUGAAAACAAAAAGGACAUAACUUUGUCAUAAGAGGCCUGAAUGGGCAGAGGAAUGAGCAACACUGGGUUAUAAAACUAACAUGUCCCGUUGUAGUUUCUUCAGCACCCACAACCAGUAUGUAGUUGUACUGCGCAACCUGAGCUUCUCGCACCUACAUCACGACCACGCUGAUCAUCAAUCAUCAUGUAUACGGGAGAUUACUUUUGCAUAAUGACUCAGUAAGACCGACCAGGCUUCCCAUACGUUUUAUCUUUUAACCAGGAAAUAAGAGUAGUUUGUGGUAAUAAAAAGGAGAAAGAAAAAAUAUAUUCAAACUUCAAAAGCACGAAACAAAUACACUGCUUCUUAGCAUUAUGUUUAAGAUGGGUCACUGAAGUUGUUUGCCUAUUGUGACACACUAAUUCCAGGUCAAAAGCCACAAUUUCUUGCCCACCAAGUGCAAACCUAACCGAAAGUACCAGAACAUAAACCUCAAUUGUGUACAAGUUACCUUCUUGCUGAUGUUUCUGUCUGUUAUGUCAACAUCAACAUAGUACCCAGCUUCAUGAAUUUGUUCUCUCACCUGUUUGAAUAAAUGCAGAUAAAAGACAGAGAUUAAGAUUCUCCAGAAUAAACUGCAAGUGCUCAUAAGGAGGAGUGCAGUCACGAAUGUAAAACCUUUUCAGCGUAUUCAUGAGAAUCCUUUGACAGUGAGCAGACUAUGGCCUGGCGCGGACUAAGCCAGAAGGGCCACUUUCCUUUGUAAUGCUCCACCAAUGUGGUAAACAUACGCUCAACAGAGCCUAACACCGCUCUAUGUAUCAUCACAGGUGUAUCCGAACUCCCUUCAGCCAUAGCUGUGUAUUCCAGCUCGAAGAGGGCAGGAAGUUGAAAAUCAAGCUGAUGUGAAGCAAACAAGGAUCAAACUCAUAUAGCAAGAUUGUAAGAAAAAAACUAAAAGAUUCUAGGACCCAACUUGCAAAGUAGCGCACUGGACGUAGCUUUUCAUUGCAUCAGAUACUGUUAUGUCUAUCUUCGGGCCAUAAAAUUCCCCGGCUCCUCUGUUCACCUGCAGAGUACAUCACACCUCCAGAGUGAAUAAUGCAUACUCUUUCAAUAACAAGUUUGAGUAGAAACAUCAGAAAGUAGUACACAUACAAGGAAUGGCUUUCCAAAAUCUUCUAGUGCUUCUUCAAGGUCCCUUUCAGCUCUAUCCCAUGUUGUUAAGUCUCCAAGGUACUUCUCUGGUCUCUGAAUUUGAAAACAACAUGCACACAAUGGGAUACCGGACCAUCUAAGAAUCAAAAUUUGGUACAAAAGAUCUCCAGAUAUAUCCUACCGUUGAGAGCUUUAGCUCAUAGGUAAACCCAAAUUUUGUGUAAACAUAGUCAACGAAUUCCAAUGCACGUUUCAAUUCUCCACUAACCUGCGAAAAGACAGAAUACUUCUAACAAGGAGCUGGGAGGAUAAGGAAGUCCAACGUUGCUAUAAAGGAAGUAAAUAAUCUCAAACCUGAUCCUUUGUACAGAAUAUGUGUGCAUCAUCCUGAAAAGAAAAGGAGAAGACAUUGCCAAAUGUUAUGUUAGGGAAAAUUGACUGGUUGGCAAAGUGUGUGGUGAAUUCCUCACUUCACCAUGGCAAAUAGGCUCUAAUUAAACGCUAGAGAGCAAGAAAUUUACCCUGAUCUACUAAAGCUCCUAAAGAAGUAUAAAAUACACUACGUUUCUUUGUGUUGUUUUCGCCUCUUGAUUAUAAACGCAUCAAUAUUAUCUUUUCCGCAAAAUAUAAUACCAAUACCCCGUUAAAACAAGAAGAAAGUUCAAAUGCAAAAAAAAAUACCUGUUGGAACCGUCGGGUAUGGGUCAAGCCACUAAGAGCUUCACUUGCCUCAUUUCGAUGUAACACUCCAAAGUCGGCAAGUCUAAUGGGUAAUUCUACAUACCAUACCAUUAAAGGAAGGUGUCAGCAAGAAAAAUGAUAUAAUUUAGAGUAAGACUUAUUCCUAUAUCUAAUCAAGCAGCACUAGAGGAACAUAGGGUACCUUUAUACGAGCGAAGCCUGUGUUGGAACAUCAAGCAGUGACCAGGGCAGUUCAUAGGUUUGAGCCCAAACUCUUGUUUAUCAAUCUGUGCAAGGAAAAGUAGAGAAAGCCAUUCCAUUUCAACUGUUAAAAUGGCAUCUUCAAAGCUAGACAAAGCCAAGAAGAAUGUUGAGGUUUGCAUGCACACUUACAUCAAACGUGUACAUAUUUUCCUUGUAGUUUGCAGCAUGUCCGGAUGUUUCCCAGAGUUUCAUGUUGUAAAUAUUUGGUGAAAUAACCUGGCCAAAUUCAGUGUUAAUCUAGUAACCCCUCUGCCACGGUCAUCAAGUCUGCUAAAAGAAAAGGUGAGAUGAUGAGAAAAGGGAAAAACCUCUUCGUAGCCCCUUUUCCGAUAUUCAUUCCCGAUGAAAUGCAUCAGCUUAUUAUAUACGCGAGUACCAUGUUUCUCGAAGAACCAACUCCCAGGGCUGAAUCUCUUACAUAUAUAUAUAUAUAUAUAUAUAUUGUUAGUUUCGAAGAAAAAAAGAGGAGCUAGCAAAGGCGAUACAGUAUAUUAGCACAGAAAGAACCUGAGUGGGUGACAAAAGAAAAGUUGGUGAUGGUGGCCUAAUAGCACCGAAAGCAACUGAGUGGGAGAAAAAAGACUAGGUGAGCAUAAGAAAAGAAAUUGUAGCUUGUAGAUAAAAAGUAGGAAUCUCACAUUCAAACACUUGAAAGCUUUCACAAAGGAAGUAUUUGGUAUAUGUGGUCCACUACACAGAUCAACCAAAGGACCACACCUGUAGACGGUGGUUUUGUCCUCGGUGAGGAGUUCAGCCUGUAGAUAGAUGAAUAACAGCAGAGAAAGGGCGCCCCAAACAACAAAAUCCAAUGCGGAUCAGAAGGAGCAUCAUAGCAAGUUCAAUGAGAAGGGAAAAAAAUAACAGCGUUAACACACCUUAAAAGUAUUAUCAUCAGGAAACAUCUCAAGAGCCUGACCCCUGGUCACUUCAAUCCUUUCAAAUGGAUGUCCUUCCUAAGAUGUCAGAGGAAUAAACUCAAAGCUUUGUAAAAGAAGCAAAGAAAUAUACUGUAAGGAGAAAUACAGAGAUAUCAAAAAUAAAGAUAUGACAAGACUGAAUAAGAAGCAGUACUCGAGCAUCCCCUGCUUCAGUUUCGGGAAAGUGUUGCUCGUUUAAACCCAGAUCGCCAUAGAAUGCAUCGUAGAAGAAACCCUGGAUAGACAACCAAACAAAUAAUAGAGAGGCAAGCACAAAGACAAAGACAAAAAGAAUCGCUGCAGGCUCUUAGUCUUACCUCAUCUCUAGCUUUGCAGGGUCCAACGCACAGCUUACAACCAUACUCCUAAUGUGAGCGCUAGAACGCCAGAAAGUAUCACGGCCUUUGUCGCUGUCAAAACUGAAAAACUCAAGCGAACAAUCAGCUUCCAGUGGCCUAUUCAUGUCCCAGAGGACAUCGUUUACCGAAGAAAUCAGCGCUGAGUUUGCCAAUCCCACAGAAAUUUGCCUCGCGAUUUCUGCUGGAGUCGUCUCCCAUCUCUUCCCUUCUUUCACGUUUCCACCAUCUCGAAUUGUAACC